GAUGAACGCUGGCGGCGUGCCUAAUACAUGCAAGUAGAACGCUGAAGGAAGGAGCUUGCUCUUUCCGGAUGAGUUGCGAACGGGUGAGUAACGCGUAGGUAACCUGCCUGGUAGCGGGGGAUAACUAUUGGAAACGAUAGCUAAUACCGCAUAACAGUAGAUGUUGCAUGAUAUCUACUUAAAAGGUGCAAUUGCACCACUACCAGAUGGACCUGCGUUGUAUUAGCUAGUUGGUGAGGUAACGGCUCACCAAGGCGACGAUACAUAGCCGACCUGAGAGGGUGAUCGGCCACACUGGGACUGAGACACGGCCCAGACUCCUACGGGAGGCAGCAGUAGGGAAUCUUCGGCAAUGGACGGAAGUCUGACCGAGCAACGCCGCGUGAGUGAAGAAGGUUUUCGAAUCGUAAAGCUCUGUUGUAAGAGAAGAACGAGUGUGAGAGUGGAAAGUUCACACUGUGACGGUAUCGUACCAGAAAGGGACGGCUAACUACGU
rnacentral:rRNA from 1 species